rnacentral:rRNA from 1 species
UACGUAGGCAGCGAGCGUUGUUCGGAAUUACUGGGCGUAAAGAGUGUGUAGGCGGUGCUCCCAGUCUGUUGUGAAAUCUCCCGGCUUAACUGGGAGGGUGCAGCGGAAACUAGAGUGCUAGAGGGUGGGAGAGGUAAGCGGAAAUUCCUGGUGUAGCGGUGAAAUGCGUAGAUAUCAGGAGGAACACCUGUGGUGUAGACAGCUUACUGGACCACUUCUGACGCUGAGACACGAAAGCGUGGGUAGCAAACAGG